CGGAUUACUUGGCCGCUUCCUACGAAGACUAGAGAGGGUCAAACAUAACUGAACGCAGUUGUGACAACCUGUUUUUCCUAGUGAGGUGGCGUAAAUAUACCCCAUCUCCUGUACCAGGACGAGGAAAGUGACCAUUGUCUAGAAAUGGAAGGCUGGCAUUAAGUUUAAUUCACAGGCCUCAGUACUGAAAUAAGUGGAUAGAGCAAAAGCUUAAGAAAACACCUUUUCAUCAUUGUCAUGGAUUCAUUAAGAAAGCCAUGACUGGAUUCAACCACUGGCUCACAUUUUCUGCUAUGAGGAAAGCAGUAAAGGUUUACUCCUUUGGAAUGGGCACCUAGCCUUGCUAGUAUAGAUAGUAGACAUCUCUUAUGUAUCUUCACUGGGAACCAAGUGACCUGAGCAGUUUUGAGGUUCUGGGUCAUUUGGAUAACUGAAAACUCCCACCUUCAGAGAGAGGGUAGGAGCAGAUUCGGUAACCCAUGGUAAUACUUGCUACUACAUAUUUGGACAAGAAUUCGGGAUAGUGAAAACCCCUUCAGCUUGUUUCUUGGUGUACUGAAAAUUUCCUCCAUCCCAAUAAAAGAGAAUCAGAAAGACAUCUGCCCCAGUAAGGGGAUCAUCCCUAAUUUUUUCAUACCUUAAAAUAGCUAGGGUUCAGUAUUCAGACCCUCAGUCUAUAGCUCUCUCCCUCUUGUGUCAAGAUACCUCCAAUCACCAUUAUGGUUAUUUAUUUUCUUCUGCCACCACUAGUCAUUGUAAUUUUUCCUAAUAGAUUGAUUUUCCUGUACUGACUACACUCCUGAUGCCUUCAAUUCAUUGUCACAAAUUACCUCAGACAGAGUGUUACCGAAUUGUGAUGAACAGAAUCAAUUUACAAAUAGACUUUUGCGUGAGUUGUGUGUCUUUAGAAUUCUAACUAACUGCAACCUGCGUUAGAUUAUUUAAAUUUUCAUGUUGGUUGUUUGUAGGAUAUUGGGAUCAUUGUUCCUUCCCACAAAAGUUUCUUUAAAGUCAGCUUGAAUGAACAGUAAUUGAGCACAAAAGCCUGACCUUGCCAACACUGCAUUGCAUGCUCAGUCAAAUUAGUUCAGACCAUUAUGGUUUAUAUUAACUAUAUUUGUCAUUUGUAAUUAACAUGGAUUAAGAUUUGGAGGAGAUUUCUGGUACUUGUUUUUGGUUGAUUAUGCUAGUGGGAAUUUCAGACCAUAUUAACAUUUUCUCUUGCUUCUUAAGUUUGUUUUGUGUUUUCUUAACAGAAUAAUUAUAUCUUUGAUCUGAUUUUGGAAUAGUCUGGCUAAUGUUUGCUUAGGAAGAAAAUAAAACCAUCCCUUACCCAAUUUUCUCAUUCUCCCUUUGACAAGUAUAUAAAAGGUUGAUCGGGAGAGAAGCAAACCAUACAUUUGAGUUUUGGCUCAUUGUAUAAGAUGAUGAUAAUGAUCCAAAUUUAGAAUGUCAUGAAAUCUCUUAAGGUUUUGUUUUAAAAUGCACUUACCAUGUCUUGGAUAUGAAACAGGUGGUUCUGCAGACAGGCCUGAGUUAUCGCCAAUGAACAGACUAUUGUGUGCAAAGUAGCUUUUCAUUAUCAUUGUUAACCCUCAUUAAAAUCACAAACCUUUAGCUUUUCACAGCUUUGUUUUCUUUUAAAGAGAUGAUGUUCAAGGUUUUUGAAAUGUCUACAUUUUCUUGAAAUGUUUUCAUUUAAAAUAAAACUUUUGUGGUUAUACACAUGCAUCAGUAUUAUGAGAGAGGAGGGUUUGAAGCUGAGCAGUAAUAUUAGUUUUAAUAUUUUAUUGUC